rnacentral:rRNA from 1 species
AACGAACGCUGGCGGCAUGCCUAACACAUGCCAGUCGAACGAGACCUUCGGGUCUAGUGGCGCACGGGUGCGUAACGCGUGGGAACCUGCCCUUAGGUUCGGAAUAACUCCCCGAAAGGGGUGCUAAUACCGGAUAAUGUCUUCGGACCAAAGAUUUAUCGCCUUGGGAUGGGCCCGCGUUGGAUUAGCUAGUUGGUAGGGUAAAAGCCUACCAAGGCGACGAUCCAUAGCUGGUCUGAGAGGAUGAUCAGCCACACUGGGACUGAGACACGGCCCAGACUCCUACGGGAGGCAGCAGUGGGGAAUAUUGGACAAUGGGCGAAAGCCUGAUCCAGCAAUGCCGCGUGAGUGAUGAAGGCCUUAGGGUUGUAAAGCUCUUUUACCCGGGAUGAUAAUGACAGUACCGGGAGAAUAAGCUCCGGCUAACUCCGUG